rnacentral:antisense_RNA from 1 species
GAGCAAAGCGCCACGCCCCGCGAGGGUAAGCGAUCUACGCCCUACCCCACCGGAGAGCUUCUGGGCGCGUCCCCUUCUCCGGGAGACCUAAGGAGGGCAACCACCGCUCCCAAUCUCCCUUGGCGGCGAGAACUGGAGGCAGUGCACCCACCACUAGAAUUUGAACAUCCUAAGAACAGGUAUUUUUGUCUCUGCUUUGCUGAUGUAUCCUCAGCAACCGGAACUGCCUGACAUCUGAUCCUUUCUGUGAGUCACCAGGCUGGUGAGGAAGAAUCUAUGGCAACAUUGUAUCUAUUAAUAUACAGCUUCUGUAUUUAUCAGGCCCUAACCCUAUUCUGAUUUCACUUUUAACAGAAGCUGUCCCUCAAAAGCAAACAUGCAAUAGAAGAAACAGAUCUCAAUGGAGUCUCACUCUGUCACCCAAGAUGGAGUACAGUGGCGUGAUCUCGGCUCACUGCAAGCUCCGCCUCCUGGGUUCAUGCCAUUCUCCUGCCUUAGCCU